CCCCCUCGGGAAGCGUGCGCCUGGCCAUGAGGACAGUGUUGGGCUGUUGGCGGGGACAGCAGGGCUGCCACGUCAGAGCCAUGCCCCUCGCCAGCACUUGGGCCCCGCCCUGGCCCCUGCCCUCACCUCUCCUGCGCAGCCCCCAGACCUGAGCUCGCUGCACCGCAUCUCUGUAUCUCACCGCGUCUCUCCACCAUGCCAGGGGGGCUCCUAGCUCUCCUCUGGGGCCUCCUGCUUGCAGGCAGCCAGGAGGCCUUCCGCCUGCUGCAGGACCCCGUGGUCGUGGGGCGCGUGGACACCUCGGCCAGCCUGACCUGCAAGAGCAGCACCGCAGUCCACUACAUACACUGGUACCGCCAGCAGGAGGGCCGAGCUCCGCAGUGGCUCCUCAGUCUGUACAUGUUGGACUCGGCUGUGCGUUUGAGUUCGGAUCUGGGAGCAGAUAAAGUCACGGCCCUAACGACCACGAAAGGCCGCAGCUGCAGCCUGGUGGUGCUGAAGCUGGAGCACAGAGACCAAGGCAUGUACUACUGUGCCACAGGGCACACAGCGCCGCGCGCCGCCCGGGACCCUGUGCAGAAAGCUCAGGCCCACGGCUCCCGGACCUUCUGCCAGCAGGAACCUCCCGGGAUGCUGGAGCUGGGCCGGCCUGAGGGACCCGGGGCGCUACUUAGGCAGCUUACCUCUCCAAACAGCGUUCGCCACGUACGGCAGGCCGCGCUGACUGUGGCUGCCAUCAGAAACCAAGGGAAACUGUUCAUUAAUGUGUGUUCAGUAGUGCCAUCAUGUCGUAUUAGAUGA